rnacentral:lncRNA from 1 species
GGGAGGGGCGGGGGCGCCGGGCCCUUCCGCGCCGCUCCCAUCGCCGGGAGUUGUGGUCCCGCCGCCGUUUUGUCCGCUCCGUGCAGCCUGGCAGGGACUCGGUGUCCCGGCGCGCCGCGGGCUGUGGGCGGAGAGGCGGAGGCAGAGGCGGGCAAGGCGGGCGGCUGCUGUGGAAGUUGUUGGGGCCGCGCGGUGUCGGGGCUGUGGGAAGACGCACAGAGCCUGUUUGGGCGACAGCAGAAUGGAGGAGCCCACUGGGGACCUUCCCAUCCGGGCAGACGUCAUCCUUGCCGAGUCGUGCUGUGAUCAUGUCACCCUGACAAACCUGGUGGAAGUGCUGAGAUCUUUGGUGUCUUUAACUGACCCUCAGGAGGGGAAGCUGACUCAGUCUCAAGAGAAAGCACUAAACUCGCUGGGCAUUUGGAAAACUGUAUUUAGAAUUGUUCCUGGGCCUACAUCAAAGACCUC